rnacentral:rRNA from 1 species
AAAAAAGGUAAGCUACUAAGAGCGAAUGGUGGAUGCCUUGACUGGUAAAGGCGAUGAAGGACGUACUAGACUGCGAUAAGCUACGGGGAGCUGUCAAGAAGCUUUGAUCCGUAGAUUUCCGAAUGGGGCAACCCAAUGUAUAGAGAUAUACAUUACCUAUAUAGGAGCGAACGAGGGGAAUUGAAACAUCUUAGUACCCUCAGGAAAAGAAAUCAAUAGAGAUUGCGUCAGUAGCGGCGAGCGAAAGCGCAAGAGGGCAAACCCAGUGCUUGCACUGGGGGUUGUAGGACUGCAAUGUGCAAGAGGUAAGUUUAGCAGAACAUUCUGGAAAGUAUAACCAUAGAGGGUGAUAGUCCCGUAUGCGAAAAACAAACCUUAGCUAGCAGUAUCCUGAGUAGGGCGGGACACGAGAAAUCCUGUCUGAAGCUGGGUCGACCACGAUCCAACCCUAAAUACUAAUACCAGAUCGAUAGUGCACAAGUACCGUGAGGGAAAGGUGAAAAGAACUGAGGUGAUCAGAGUGAAAUAGAACCUGAAACCAUUUGCUUACAAUCAUUCAGAGCCCUAUGUAGCAAUACAGGGUGAUGGACUGCCUUUUGCAUAAUGAGCCUGCGAGUUGUGGUGUCUGGCAAGGUUAAGCAAACGCGAAGCCGUAGCGAAAGCGAGUCUGAAUAGGGCGCUUAGUCAGAUGCUGCAGACCCGAAACGAAGUGAUCUAUCCAUGAGCAAGUUGAAGCUAGUGUAAGAACUAGUGGAGGACUGAACCCAUAGGCGUUGAAAAGCCCCGGGAUGACUUGUGGAUAGGGGUGAAAGGCCAAUCAAACUUCGUGAUAGCUGGUUCUCUCCGAAAUAUAUUUAGGUAUAGCGUUGUGUCGUAAUAUAAGGGGGUAGAGCACUGAAUGGGCUAGGGCAUACACCAAUGUACCAAACCCUAUCAAACUCCGAAUACCUUAUAUGUAAUCACAGCAGUCAGGCGGCGAGUGAUAAAAUCCGUCGUCAAGAGGGAAACAACCCAGACUACCAGCUAAGGUCCCUAAAUCUUACUUAAGUGGAAAACGAUGUGAAGUUACUUAAACAACCAGGAGGUUGGCUUAGAAGCAGCCAUCCUUUAAAGAAAGCGUAAUAGCUCACUGGUCUAGUGAUUUUGCGCGGAAAAUAUAACGGGGCUAAAGUAAGUACCGAAGCUGUAGACUUGCACACAACUUAGAUUAUUUAAGUUUAGAAUAUGAGAAACUAAGUUAUAUGUUUAGUUAUAUUUUUACUGAUUUUUAUAGAGUAAAGAUAGAAAUAAAACUUAGUAAAAUCAGUAAAAAUAUUCUUAGACUAAAGUUAAGUAGUUUAAGUUGUGUGCAAGUGGUAGGAGAGCGUUCUAUUUGCGUCGAAGGUAUACCGGUAAGGAGUGCUGGAGCGAAUAGAAGUGAGCAUGCAGGCAUGAGUAGCGAUAAUUAAUGUGAGAAUCAUUAACGCCGUAAACCCAAGGUUUCCUACGCGAUGCUCGUCAUCGUAGGGUUAGUCGGGUCCUAAGUCGAGUCCGAAAGGGGUAGACGAUGGCAAAUUGGUUAAUAUUCCAAUACCAACAUUAGUGUGCGAUGGAAGGACGCUUAGGGCUAAGGGGGCUAGCGGAUGGAAGUGCUAGUCUAAGGUCGUAGGAGGUUAUACAGGCAAAUCCGUAUAACAAUACUCCGAGAACUGAAAGGCUUUUUGAAGUCUUCGGAUGGAUAGAAGAACCCCUGAUGCCGUCGAGCCAAGAAAAGUUUCUAAGUUUAGCUAAUGUUGCCCGUACCGUAAACCGACACAGGUGGGUGGGAUGAGUAUUCUAAGGCGCGUGGAAGAACUCUCUUUAAGGAACUCUGCAAAAUAGCACCGUAUCUUCGGUAUAAGGUGUGGUUCGCUUCGUAUUAGGAUUUACUCCGAAAGCGAAGAAACUUACAACAAAGAGUCCCUCCCGACUGUUUACCAAAAACACAGCACUCUGCUAACUCGUAAGAGGAUGUAUAGGGUGUGACGCCUGCCCGGUGCUCGAAGGUUAAUUGAUGGGGUUAGCAUUAGCGAAGCUCUUGAUCGAAGCCCGAGUAAACGGCGGCCGUAACUAUAACGGUCCUAAGGUAGCGAAAUUCCUUGUCGGUUAAAUACCGACCUGCAUGAAUGGCGUAACGAGAUGGGAGCUGUCUCAAAGAGGGAUCCAGUGAAAUUGUAGUGGAGGUGAAAAUUCCUCCUACCCGCGGCAAGACGGAAAGACCCCGUGGACCUUUACUACAGCUUGACACUGCUAUUUGGAUAAGAAUGUGCAGGAUAGGUGGGAGGCUUUGAGUAUAUGACGCCAGUUGUAUAUGAGCCAUUGUUGAGAUACCACUCUUUCUUAUUUGGGUAGCUAACCAGCUUGAGUUAUCCUCAAGUGGGACAAUGUCUGGUGGGUAGUUUGACUGGGGCGGUCGCCUCCCAAAUAAUAACGGAGGCUUACAAAGGUUGGCUCAGAACGGUUGGAAAUCGUUCGUAGAGUAUAAAGGUAUAAGCCAGCUUAACUGCAAGACAUACAAGUCAAGCAGAGACGAAAGUCGGUCUUAGUGAUCCGGUGGUUCUGUGUGGAAGGGCCAUCGCUCAAAGGAUAAAAGGUACCCCGGGGAUAACAGGCUGAUCUCCCCCAAGAGCUCACAUCGACGGGGAGGUUUGGCACCUCGAUGUCGGCUCAUCGCAUCCUGGGGCUGGAGCAGGUCCCAAGGGUAUGGCUGUUCGCCAUUUAAAGCGGUACGCGAGCUGGGUUCAGAACGUCGUGAGACAGUUCGGUCCCUAUCUGCCGUGGGCGUAAGAAGAUUGAAGAGAUUUGACCCUAGUACGAGAGGACCGGGUUGAACAAACCACUGGUGUAGCUGUUGUUCUGCCAAGAGCAUCGCAGCGUAGCUAAGUUUGGAAAGGAUAAACGCUGAAAGCAUCUAAGCGUGAAGCCAACUCUAAGAUGAAUCUUCUCUAAGCUCUCUAGAAGACUACUAGUUUGAUAGGCUGGGUGUGUAAUGGAUGAAAGUCCUUUAGCUGACCAGUACUAAUAGAGCGUUUGGCUUAUCUUUAAUAAAGCAU